GAUGAACGCUGACAGAAUGCUUAACACAUGCAAGUCUACUUGAACUUCGGUUUGGGUGGCGGACGGGUGAGUAACGCGUAAAGAACUUGCCUCACAGAUAGGGACAACAUUUGGAAACGAAUGCUAAUACCUGAUAUUAUGAUUUUAGGGCAUCCUAGAAUUAUGAAAGCUAUAUGCACUGUGAGAGAGCUUUGCGUCCCAUUAGCUAGUUGGAGAGGUAACGGCUCACCAAGGCGAGGAUGGGUAGCCGGCCUGAGAGGGUGAUCGGCCACAAGGGGACUGAGACACGGCCCUUACUCCUACGGGAGGCAGCAGUGGGGAAUAUUGGACAAUGGACCAAGAGUCUGAUCCAGCAAUUCUGUGUGCACGAUGAAGUUUUUCGGAAUGUAAAGUGCUUUCAGUUGGGAAGAAAAAAAUGACGGUACCAACAGAAGAAGUGACGGCUAAAUACGUG
rnacentral:rRNA from 1 species